rnacentral:sRNA from 2 species
UAUUCACAGCGUCAGGUAGACGAGCUUCCUCAGGAAGCGCUCAGGGAUAGCCCGGAAGGCAGCAGAGCAGGGAAAAAGGAUGGGGUCUGAAGGAGAGACCGUCAGGGAUAAGGAAGCGCUCGGGAUGAGUGGACAGCAGACGGGAUAAACCGGGAUGUUGAUUGCAUAAAGGGAUGUAAAGGAUGACUGUCCUUCUACGGAAGGUACGAAAAAAGGCGACAGAUUGCUCUGUCGCCUUUUUUCUUU